AGUGAACGCUGGCGGCAGGCCUAAUACAUGCAAGUCGAACGGCAGCACAGUGGAGCUUGCUCCAUGGGUGGCGAGUGGCGGACGGGUGAGGAAUACAUGGGAAUCUGCCCAGUCGUGGGGGAUAACGUAUGGAAACGUACGCUAAUACCGCAUGCGCCCUUCGGGGGAAAGUCGGGGACCGCAAGGCCUGACGCGAUUGGAUGAGCCCAUGUUCGAUUAGCUAGUUGGCGGGGUAACGGCCCACCAAGGCGACGAUCGAUAGCUGGUCUGAGAGGAUGAUCAGCCACACUGGAACUGAGACACGGUCCAGACUCCUACGGGAGGCAGCAGUAGGGAAUAUUGGACAAUGGGCGCAAGCCUGAUCCAGCCAUGCCGCGUGAGUGAAGAAGGCCCUCGGGUUGUAAAGC
rnacentral:rRNA from 1 species